rnacentral:pre_miRNA from 1 species
AGUGGAAUUGCUGGGCCGUAUGGUCACUCUGUGUUCAACUUUUUGAGGAACUGCCAGACUAUUUUCCAAAGUGGCUGCACCGUUUUACAUUCUCAGCUGCAGU